UACUCUGAAGUCCCCAAAUAGCAAAGACUAACUUUGAUUGUACAUAUCUCUCUGGUCCACCAUGCAGAAUGUCAUGUGGAGUAAAUCAGCACAUCUUAAAACAUGAAUCUGGGUUGAAAAGUUCAGAGAUUACCUCCUGAAUUUUGCAGCAGCUGAGUUGAUUUUGGCCCCACAAAGCAGACUCUUGUUUAUUUGCUCAUAAAACAUCUCUGCAGGGAUGAUGGGUCUUACAAAUCACACUGGACACAUGAGAAGUGGGGUUGGUUUUGUUUGUACUUUGGCCACUGGUCAAGCGGAACUGACAGACUCUUUCUUUUCAACUGGAGCGGUUUCUGGUCAGAACAACUGUGUCAGACACCUGGGCUUCUUACAUAGUUUUUUGUUUUUGCCAGUCCUGGGGCUUGAACUCAGGGCCUG